CUGGCCCUGAAUCAAGGCUGGCAGCUUUUUGACUCUGCUGGUUUCAAGCAAGAGCCUAAAGAGAUAUCUUUCUAUGGUCUGUGGCCACCUCGAACUUGGGCGGUAAAAUGGUCAGUUCAUUAGAAAGAAAUAGUU
ensembl:snoRNA